rnacentral:tRNA from 1 species
GGCUCGGUAGCUCAGUUGGUAGAGCAACGGAUUGAAUUGAAGCUCCGUGUGUCGGCGGUUCGAUUCCGUCCCGCGCCA